rnacentral:rRNA from 1 species
AGUAGUCAGAGCACGUUAAAGUGUGAUGGCGUACAUCUUGCAGUAUGGGCCGGCGAGUUAUGUUAAAAUAUGCAAGGUUAAGCAGAAAAAAGCGGAGCCGUAGGGAAACCGAGUCUGAAUAGGGCGACUUUAGUAUAUUGGCAUAUACCCGAAACCAGGUGAUCUAUCCAUGAGCAGGUUGAAGCUUAGGUAAAACUAAGUGGAGGACCGAACCGUAGUACGCUAAAAAGUGCCCGGAUGACUUGUGGAUAGCGGUGAAAUUCCAAUCGAACCUGGAGAUAGCUGGUUCUCUUCGAAAUAGCUUUAGGGCUAGCGUAUAGUAUUGUUUAAUGGGGGUAGAGCACUGAAUGUGGAAUGGCGGCAUCUAGCUGUACUGACUAUAAUCAAACUCCGAAUACCAUUAAAAUUAAGCUAUGCAGUCGGAACGUGGGUGAUAACGUCCACGCUCGCGAGGGAAACAACCCAGAUCGUCAGCUAAGGUCCCAAAAUUGUGUUAAGUGAGAAAGGUUGUGAGAUUUCAUAAACAACUAGGAAGUUGGCUUAGAAGCAGCCACCUUUUAAAGAGUGCGUAAUUGCUCACUAGUCAAGAGAUCUUGCGCCAAUAAUGUAACGGGACUCAAACACAAUACCGAAGCUACGGGCACAUUAUGUGCGUUAGGAGAGCGUUUUAAUUUCGUUGAAGUCAGACCGUGAGGACUGGUGGAGAGAUUAAAAGUGAGAAUGCCGGCAUGAGUAACGAUUCGAAGUGAGAAUCUUCGACGCCUAUUGGGAAAGGUUUCCUGGGCAAGGUUCGUCCACCCAGGGUUAGUCAGGGCCUAAGAUGAGGCAGAAAUGCAUAGUCGAUGGACAACAGGUUAAUAUUCCUGUACUUGGUAAAAGAAUGAUGGAGUGACGAAAAAGGAUAGUUCUACCACUUACUGGAUUGUGGGGUAAGCAACAAGAGAGUUAUAUAGGCAAAUCCGUAUAGCAUAAUCUUGAGUUGUGAUGCAUAGUGAAGACUUCGGUCGAGUAACGAAUUGAAUGAUUUCAUGUUUCCAAGAAAAGCUUCUAGUGUUAAUUUUUUAUCAACCUGUACCGAGAACGAACACACGUUCCCAAGAUGAGUAUUCUAAGGCGAGCGAGAAAACCAAUGUUAAGGAACUCUGCAAAAUAACCCCGUAAGUUCGCGAGAAGGGGCGCCUAUUUUUAAUAGGCCACAGAAAAUAGGGGGGGCAACUGUUUAUCAAAAACACAGCUCUCUGCUAAGUUGUAAAACGACGUAUAGAGGGUGAAGCCUGCCCAGUGCCCGAAGGUUAAACGGAGAUGUUAGCUUACGCAAAGCAUUAAA